rnacentral:rRNA from 1 species
CUGAACAUUGAGCCUUGAUGUGUAGGAUAGGUGGGAGACUAUGAAGUGUGGACGCCAGUCUGCAUGGAGUCAACCUUGAAAUACCACCCUUUAACGUUUUGAUGUUCUAACCUAGGGUCCAUAAUCUGGAUCGGGGGACCGUGUCUGGUGGGUAGUUUGACUGGGGCGGUCUCCUCCUAAAGAGUAACGGAGGAGCACGAAGGUUGGCUAAGCAUGGUCGGACAUCAUGCGGUUAGUGCAA